ACUGGCCAUCCAGAAGAUGUCCUCAACGAUCAGACUGUUAUCACGCUGAGUAGAACCAGUACCACACGAGGAUCGGCUAAUGCUUUUAAGGCCAGCCGUCCCAAUGAAGGACACGGCAAAGCCCAACAACCAAGCCCAAGGACAGACAAAAAAAUCCAUCCAAGGCUUGAAGAAUUUCGCGACACUCGAACAGGCGUGCU
rnacentral:misc_RNA from 1 species